UCCGUAGGUGAACCUGCGGAAGGAUCAUUGAAAUCGAUCGAACCCACCCUGGUAACCAAACGUACCCCUCGUGUAUCGCCAGCUUGCUGGCUGCCGAGCGUCGGUCCCCUGGUUAGGGCUCUUCGCAGCCCUCUCUAGGUCCGGCGGGCGUCGCUCCGGCGGUGUCUCUGUGGUCUUUUCCACCGAGCCCGUCGGUUGAGACGUCGGUAAUUUUUAUCCAACCCAACCCACCCCAAACCUCAAUUAAUCCUGAAGCAAUCAGUAGGUGCAGCCUCGUGUUGUGACCUCUAAACCAAAGAUAACUCUCAACAACGGAUAUCUUGGCUCCCGUAUCGAUGAAGAACGCAGCGAAAUGCGAUACGUAGUGUGAAUUGCAGAAUUCCGUGAACCAUCGAAUCUUUGAACGCAAAUUGCGCCCGAGGCUUCGGCCGAGGGCAUGUCUGCCUCAGCGUCGGCUUACCCCCUCGUCUCCCCUUCACUGGGUGAGUACGGAUCUGGCCCUCCCGGCUCCGACUGAACUUGUUCAGCCGUCCGGGUCGGCUGAAGUGCAGAGGCUUGAGCAUGGACCCCGUUUGCAGGGCAAUGGCUUGGUAGGUAGCUUUGCUACGCAGCCUGCCGUCGCCCGAGGGGCCUUUGCUGGCGGCCCAGCAGGAACCGGGGCGUUAAACCCCCGGCGUCUCACACUUUCGACCUGAGCUCAGGCAAGAUUACCCGCUGAACUUAAGCAUAUCAAUAAGCGGAGGA
rnacentral:rRNA from 1 species